UUAGAUGGAACAAAUAAACCAAAACCCUCAUCCUUUCAAGAUUGCCGAGCUAUCUUCUUCAACCUCCAUCAUGCUCUUUUGAGCACUUCUCACGGCGGCGAGCAUAUCUUGGAAUUCCGAAACUUGUUUUCAAGGAUUCAAGCUCGGUUGGAGAGUCGACUCAUAUACGGACAAGACCCGGCGAGACAACUACCGACGGGACCUGGAACUCGAGGAGCGUGACAUAGCGCUAUCCGGUUUGGAAACUAGGAAUAGCAAGUGUGUUUUAUUUCAGGUGAUAGUAUUUUGAAGGCAAGGACUUCCAUUCUUGUUCCGGAAGUCUGCAAUAUUUUAAGUACGUAUUGAAGUAUGCUUCAAAUCCUAGCGCUGCAAUAGUCAGUAGAUGUCAGUAUAAAAAUAAUAUUUUGUAUCAAACUAUAUUUUGCUAUUAACUCUGACAUGAUAAAUGUAUGUUUAUAGUUUAUAUAAAACACGCUUUUUAUU